rnacentral:rRNA from 1 species
CCUACGGGGGGCAGCAGUGGGGAAUAUUGCGCAAUGGGCGAAAGCCUGACGCAGCGACGCCGCGUGAGGGAUGAAGGUCUUCGGAUCGUAAACCUCUGUCAGCAGGGAAGAACGGUCACUGUGCUAAUCAGCAGUGAAUUGACGGUACCUGCAAAGGAAGCACCGGCUAACUCCGUGCCAGCAGCCGCGGUAAUACGGAGGGUGCGAGCGUUAAUCGGAAUUACUGGGCGUAAAGCGCUCGUAGGUGGUAUGUCAAGUCAAGGGUGAAAUCCCCGGGCUCAACGUGGGAACUGCCUUUGAAACUGGCAAACUGGAGUGUGUGAGAGGAUAGUGGAAUUCCAGGUGUAGGAGUGAAAUGCGUAGAUAUCUGGAGGAACAUCAGUGGCGAAGGCGACUAUCUGGCACAUAACUGACGCUGAGGAGCGAAAGCGUGGGUAGCAAACAGGAUUAGAUACCCCAGUAGUC